GACGAACGCUGGCGGCGUGCUUAACACAUGCAAGUCGAACGGAAAGGCCCUGCUUUUGUGGGGUGCUCGAGUGGCGAACGGGUGAGUAACACGUGAGUAACCUGCCCUUGACUUUGGGAUAACUUCAGGAAACUGGGGCUAAUACCGGAUAGGAGCUCCUGCUGCAUGGUGGGGGUUGGAAAGUUUCGGCGGUUUGGGAUGGACUCGCGGCUUAUCAGCUUGUUGGUGGGGUAGUGGCUUACCAAGGCUUUGACGGGUAGCCGGCCUGAGAGGGUGACCGGCCACAUUGGGACUGAGCUACGGCCCAGACUCCUACGGGAGGCAGCAGUGGGGAAUAUUGCACAAUGGGCGGAAGCCUGAUGCAGCAACGCCGCGUGCGGGAUGACGGCCUUCGGGUUGUAAACCGCUUUCGCCUGUGACGAAGCGUGAGUGACGGUAAUGGGUAAAGAAGCACCGGCUAACUACGUG
rnacentral:rRNA from 1 species